rnacentral:rRNA from 1 species
GACGAACGCUGGCGGCGUGCUUAACACAUGCAAGUCGAACGGAAAGGCCCUGCUUGCAGGGUGCUCGCGUGGCGAACGGGAGAGUAACACGUGGGUGAUCUGCCCCUUACUUUGGGAUAAGCCUGGGAAACUGGGUCUAGUACUGGAUAGGACCAUGCCGUAGGUGGUGUGGUGGAAAGAUUAGUUUCGGUAAGGGAUGAGCUCGCGGCCUAUCAGCUUGUUGGUGGGGUAAUGGCCUACCAAGGCGUCGACGGGUAGCCGGCCUGAGAGGGUGGACGGCCACAUUGGGACUGAGGUACGACCCAGACUCCUACGGGAGGCAGCAGUGGGGAAUAUUGCACAAUGGGCGCAGGCCUGAUGCAGCGACGCCGCGUGGGGGAUGACGGCCUUCGGGUUGUAAACUCCUUUCAGCCAUGACGAAGCCCUUGUGGUGACGGUAGUGGUAGAAGAAGCACCGGCUAACUACGUG